rnacentral:rRNA from 2 species
CACGAUGAAGAGUUUGAUCCUGGCUCAGGAUGAACGCUAGCGGCAGGCCUAACACAUGCAAGUCGAGGGGUAACAGGGAGAAGCUUGCUUUUCCGCUGACGACCGGCGCACGGGUGCGGAACGCGUAUGGAACCUGCCCCUGUCAGGGGAAUAGCCCGGGGAAACCCGGAUUAAUGCCCCAUGGCAUCCCGUCACCGCAUGGUGUCGGGAUUAAAGAUUUAUCGGACAGGGAUGGCCAUGCGUACCAUUAGCUUGUUGGUGGGGUAACGGCCCACCAAGGCAACGAUGGUUAGGGGCCCUGAGAGGGGGAUCCCCCACACUGGUACUGAGACACGGACCAGACUCCUACGGGAGGCAGCAGUGAGGAAUAUUGGACAAUGGCC